GCGGGGAUGGAGCAACGGUGGCUCAUCAGGUUCAUACCCUGAAUAUCAGACAGGUUCAAUUCCUGCCCCCGCCACCA
rnacentral:tRNA from 3 species